rnacentral:rRNA from 1 species
UGUGAAGGAAAGAUGGGAAGAACUUUGAAAAGAGAGUGAAAAAGGGCUUGAAAUUGUUAAGAGGAGAAGUGAUUGGAGCAUAUCAUACGGCUUGGGGUCCCAGGGCCGGGAUAUUUAUCCUGGCUUGCACCAUCCCAGGCUGUUUGUCAGCAUCGAUUUUGUGUGGGGGAGAAAGCGUGUGACGUUGAUGGCUUCGGCUUGAUCGUUGUGCGUGCAACCUUGCGUGGGAUCGAGGCAACCAAAGUCUGCGCGCUAUUUGCGGCCGGCCCUCUGCGCGCGUUUUGGCGGAGGUCACACCCUUUUCUGGUGUGUGGCUUUCGUGGAGGCGUGAGGUAUAUUUAUGAGGAGCGCUGGACCUGCGGACUGAAGAUGCUGGCACAAAUGGCUUCCAUCAGCCCGUCUUGAAACACGGACCAAGGAGUCUAACACAUAUGCGAGUAGUAAGGUGGCAAACCUUGGAUGCGCAAUGAAGGUGAAUGUAGGUGGGAUCCCCGUGAAAAGGGUGCACCAUCGACCGACCAGGAUCUUUUGUGAAAGGUUUGAGUAAGAGCAUAUUUGUUGGGACCCGAAAGAUGGUGAACUAUGCCUGAAUAGGGUGAAGCCAGAGGAAACUCUGGUGGAGGCUCGUAGCGGUACUGACGUGCAAAUCGUUCGUCAAAUUUGGGUAUAGGGGCGAAAGACUAAUCGAACCAUCUAGUAGCUGGUUCCCUCC